AUUGAACGCUGGCGGCAGGCCUAACACAUGCAAGUCGAGCGGAUGAAGGGAGCUUGCUCCUGGAUUCAGCGGCGGACGGGUGAGUAAUGCCUAGGAAUCUGCCUGGUAGUGGGGGAUAACGUCCGGAAACGGGCGCUAAUACCGCAUACGUCCUGAGGGGGAAAGUGGGGGAUCUUCGGACCUCACGCUAUCAGAUGAGCCUAGGUCGGAGUAGCUAGUUGGUGGGGUAAAGGCCUACCAAGGCGACGAUCCGUAACUGGUCUGAGAGGAUGAUCAGUCACACUGGAACUGAGACACGGUCCAGACUCCUACGGGACGCAGCAGUGGGGAAGAUUGGACAAUGGGCGAAAGCCUGAUCCAGCCAUGCCGCGUGUGUGAAGAAGGUCUUCGGAUUGUAAAGCACUUUAAGUUGGGAGGAAGGGCAGUAAGUUAAUACCUUGCUGUUUUGACGUUACCAACAGAAUAGGCACCGGCUAACUUCGU
rnacentral:rRNA from 1 species